AUGGAAAAAUCCAAUUCGACUUCGCCUGCAUAUUCAAAGGAAAAUCCAAUUCUAAACAAAAUCCAUACUUGUUGCAGAGUUAGGAUGGUUACCUAUUACAAAAUUCCAAACCCAAUUUAUUCAUGUAACAGAAAAACAGAAAUUCAGUUUUCAUAUAAAGGAAAAUUUCAGAAUAAAUCAGGAAAUUGUGGAAACAAAAAUAACAGCUCAGCAAGCUUUCAUCAGAUCAAUUGGAAUCAAUCUCGGCCUUACAAAUCUCAGGAAGCUAUCUGA